rnacentral:rRNA from 1 species
GACGAACGCUGGCGGCGUGCUUAACACAUGCAAGUCGAACGGAAAGGCCCGCUUGCGGGUACUCGAGUGGCGAACGGGUGAGUAACACGUGGGCAACCUGCCCUCAGCUCUGGGAUAACUCCGGGAAGCCGGUGCUAAUACUGGAUAGGACUUCGCAUCGCAUGGUGUGGGGUGGAACGGUUUUCGGCUGAGGAUGGGCCCGCGGCCUAUCAGCUUGUUGGUGGGGUAAUGGCCUACCAAGGCGACGACGGGUAGCCGGCCUGAGAGGGCGACCGGCCACACUGGGACUGAGACACGGCCCAGACUCCUACGGGAGGCAGCAGUGGGGAAUAUUGCGCAAUGGGCGAAAGCCUGACGCAGCGACGCCGCGUGAGGGAUGACGGCCUUCGGGUUGUAAACCUCUUUCAGCUCUGACGAAGCGAAAGUGACGGUAGGAGCAGAAGAAGCACCGGCCAACUACGUGCCAGCCGCCGCCGUAAGAC